CCCUUAGAUGUCCUGGGCUGCACGCGCGCUACACUGAUGUGUCCAGUAAGCACCUAACCUCUUCCGAAAGGAACGGGUAACCUUUGCAAAGCACAUCGUGAUGGGGAUAGAUUAUUGCAAUUAUUAGUCUUGAACGAGGAAUUCCUAGUAAGCACAAGUCAUCAGCUUGUGUUGAUUACGUCCCUGCCCUUUGUACACACCGCCCGUCGCUCCUACCGAUUGAAUGUUCCGGUGAGCUCUUCGGACUGCGCGGUCUGCAGUUUCUGCGUUCCGUGCGGAAAGUUGCGCAAACCUGAACAUUUAGAGGAAGGAGAAGUCGUAACA
rnacentral:rRNA from 1 species